rnacentral:rRNA from 1 species
AUUGAACGCUGGCGGCAGGCCUAACACAUGCAAGUCGAACGGUAACAGGAAGCAGCUUGCUGCUUCGCUGACGAGUGGCGGACGGGUGAGUAAUGUCUGGGAAGCUGCCUGAUGGAGGGGGAUAACUACUGGAAACGGUAGCUAAUACCGCAUAAUGUCGCAAGACCAAAGAGGGGGACCUUCGGGCCUCUUGCCAUCGGAUGUGCCCAGAUGGGAUUAGCUUGUUGGUGGGGUAACGGCUCACCAAGGCGACGAUCCCUAGCUGGUCUGAGAGGAGGACCAGCCACACUGGGACUGAGACACGGUCCAGACUCCUACGGGAGGCAGCAGUGGGGAAUAUUGCACAAUGGGCGCAAGCCUGAUGCAGCCAUGCCGCGUGUAUGAAGAAGGCCUUCGGGUUGUAAAGUACUUUCAGCGGGGAGGAAGGGAGUAAAGUUAAUACCUUUGCUCAUUGACGUUACCCGCAGAAGAAGCACCGGCUAACUCCGUG